UUUCUGUAGACUUCUUAAGUAUUUCCAGAUUAUUUCCAAUGUUAUUUCUGUACAUAUAUUCAGAUAAGGAACACACAGUGGUUGUCGUCAGUGGUUUGUAUUUAAUUGUAUAACAUCUUCUUUAAAACACAAUCAGAAUCUUUAAGCAUAAUCUAUUGAAAAGAAAACAACUAAAAACAAACAAAAGAAAAAAGUAUUUCCUCUUUCUCUACAUAACUUUUACUUUAAGAUUCUAAGCUGAAUAUGUCCAAAUGAAAUUACACGGACUUCCUUCUGUAUCUAUUUUACAACUUCAUGCAUCUCGAAAUGCGUUUUUAUGUUCAUUAUUGAAUUUGCAUCUGCCAAUUUUAUCUAGCAAAUAUUUUACAGAACUGAGGAAGCAGAAUUCUAAUGCUGAUAGGAGAAGCAGUUCUCAUUAACAAUCUUUCUAAUAAUGUGUUUUUAAGCUAUUCCAGUCUUCUGGCAGGACACAAUCUUUAAUCCUCUGUCCCCCAUGAACUUCCUCCUCAGUCAGCUUCUCUUACUUGUUAAAUUCCUAUUGGGAUGUCUACAUGGAUUCUUACAGAAUGCUUUAAUCACAUCAUUAAUUAAACAUCUAGACAUUGAUUUUACUUCCUAUUUGAUCUUUCACAGAUCAGAACUAAUUUUAAAAAUUAUUUCUAGAGCUACUGCAUUGCUGUCUAGUGGAACAGAUUUUAUUACAGAUGGUCCAGAGACUCUAUUGGUAGCUACAAUCUGCCAGCAUUGGCUCUUGAAGGUGUCCCGUGCUCCUGGAUGAGGCACUUCACUGUUCACGGCCUUCUGUCUGCAUGGAAGUGGAGCAUGUUCCUGAUUUGGCUUCUGCAGCCAGCACGUCAUCAUCAAUUUACUUUGUGGUCUUCUGUGCUUCUUUCUCUCCCAUUUCAAUACAUAUUCCUUUUUCCUGUCACCUCUUUUAGAAGAAUAUAUUUUAGAAAAAGAACUGUUUUCAUUUUGUACCAUACAACUCUCUCCUUUCCAGGAGUAGGUGUGUAGAUGGUGUGCAGUAGGUGUGUAGUGAUAGAUUGGAGGAACAUUCAGGCACAAGUAAUAAAAUACUCAGAAGCAUUGUUUUCUACAGAAACUAUGCCCUAGCUCCAAGUUCCCCCACUGUGUGGAGCUCCUUCCUUCUUUGUGAUAAUUUUUGUGUAAAGGAGUCAACUGCCUUUCCAUGAAACACAUUUCCAUGAGUUGGACCUGACCUCAGGUUCUGUAGAUAUUUGUGUAACUGUGUCUAUAGUCCUAUUUUCACUGAGAUUAAGUUCUCUUCCUCGG
rnacentral:lncRNA from 1 species